rnacentral:rRNA from 1 species
CCUACGGGAGGCAGCAGUGGGGAAUAUUGGGCAAUGGAGGAAACUCUGACCCAGCAAUGCCGCGUGAAUGAAGAAGGUCUUCGGAUUGUAAAGUUCUUUAGUCAGGGAAGAAUAAAAUGACGGUACCUGAAGAAUAAGCUCCGGCUAACUACGUGCCAGCAGCCGCGGUAAUACGUAGGGGGCAAGCGUUAUCCGGAUUUACUGGGUGUAAAGGGAGCGUAGACGGUUAUGUAAGUCUGGAGUGAAAGCCCGGGGCCCAACCCCGGGACUGCUUUGGAAACUGUGUAACUGGAGUACAGGAGGGGCAGGCGGAAUUCCUGGUGUAGCGGUGAAAUGCGUAGAUAUCAGGAGGAACACCGGCGGCGAAGGCGGCCUGCUGGACUGAAACUGACGUUGAGGCUCGAAAGCGUGGGGAGCAAACAGGAUUAGAUACCACUGUAGUC